GACGAACGCUGGCGGCGUGCCUAAUACAUGCAAGUCGAACGCUUCCUACCGGUGCUUGCACCGGGAAAGAAGAGUGGCGGACGGGUGAGUAACACGUGGGUAACCUACCUACAAGCGGGGGAUAACAUUCGGAAACGGAUGCUAAUACCGCAUAGAUCUUUUUGUCUCCUGGCAGAAAGAAGAAAGACGGUUUCGGCUGUCACUUGUAGAUGGACCCGCGGCGCAUUAGUUAGUUGGUGAGGUAAUGGCUAACCAAGACGAUGAUGCGGAGCCGACCUGGGAGGGAGAUCGGCCACGCGGGGACUGAGACACGGACCAGACUCCUACGGGAGGCAGCAGUAGGGAGUCUUCCGCAAUGGACGAAAGUCUGACGGAGCAACGCCGCGUGAGUGAAGAAGGUUUUCGGAUCGUAAAACUCUGUUGUUAGAGAAGAACAAGGAUGAGAGUAACUGCUCGUCCCUUGACGGUAUCUAACCAGAAAGCCAUGGCUAACUACGUGCCAGCAGCCGCGGUAA
rnacentral:rRNA from 1 species